rnacentral:misc_RNA from 1 species
GAUGAAGAACGUAGCGAAAUGCGAUAAGUAAUGUGAAUUGCAGAAUUCAGUGAAUCAUCGAAUCUUUGAACGCACAUUGCGCCCCUUGGUAUUCCGAGGGGCAUGCCUGUUCGAGCGUCAUUAUAACCCCUCAAGCUCAGCUUGGUGUUGGGGCCUGCCGCACGGGCAGCCCUUAAAAUCAGUGGCGGUGCCAUCUGGCUCUAAGCGUAGUAAUUCUUCUCGCUAUAGAGUCCCGGUGGAUGCUUGCCAUUAACCCCCAAUAUUCUAUGGUUGACCUCGGAUCAGGUAGGGAUACCCGCUGAACUUAAGCAUAUCAAUAAGCGGAGGA